AAGACUAUACUUUCAGGGAUCAUUUCUAUAGUUCAUUACUAGAGAAGUCUCUCUGAAUGUGUAGAGCACCGGAAACCAUGAGGAGGAGACGCAGUGUUCUCUCCUGAGCACGAAGCCGGCACCCGGUGUUGCUUUACUGCAAUUGCCAUUUGCCAUUGAUGAUCGUUCUUCUCUUCCUUAGCGGGAGUAAGAGGGAGAGAAUGCAGGAAAAAAAGGU